CGUGCCUAACACAUGCAAGUCGAACGGACGAGAGGGAGCUUGCUCCCUCAAGUUAGUGGCGGACGGGUGAGUAACGCGUGAGUAACCUGCCUUUCAGAGGGGAAUAACAUUCUGAAAAGGAAUGCUAAAUACCGCAUAAUGUCACCAGUAGUACUCGCAUUGGGUACAGUUGGACCAAAGGAGCAAUCCGCUGAAAGAUGGACUCGCGUCCGAUUAGCUAGUUGGCGGGAUAAAGGCCCACCAAGGCGACGAUCGGUAGCCGGACUGAGAGGUUGAUCGGCCACAUUGGGACUGAGACACGGCCCAGACUCCUACGGGAGGCAGCAGUGGGGGAUAUUGCACAAUGGGGGAAACCCUGAUGCAGCAACGCCGCGUGAAGGAAGAAGGUCUUCGGAUUGUAAACUUCUGUCCUCAGGGAAGAUAAUGACGGUACCUGAGGAGGAAGCUCCGGCUAACUACGUGCCAGCAGCCGCGGUAA
rnacentral:rRNA from 1 species